rnacentral:rRNA from 1 species
UGGGGAAUAUUGGACAAUGGGCGAAAGCCUGAUCCAGCCAUGCCGCGUGUGUGAAGAAGGUCUUCGGAUUGUAAAGCACUUUAAGUUGGGAGGAAGGGCAGUAAGCGAAUACCUUGCUGAUUUGACGUUACCGACAGAAUAAGCACCGGCUAACUCUGUGCCAGCAGCCGCGGUAAUACAGAGGGUGCAAGCGUUAAUCGGAAUUACUGGGCGUAAAGCGCGCGUAGGUGGUUCGUUAAGUUGAAUGUGAAAGCCCCGGGCUCAACCUGGGAACUGCAUCCAAAACUGGCGAGCUAGAGUAGGGCAGAGGGUGGUGGAAUUUCCUGUGUAGCGGUGAAAUGCGUAGAUAUAGGGAGGAACACCAGUGGCGAAGGCGACCACCUGGGCUCAUACUGACACUGAGGUGCGAAAGCGUGGGGAGCAAACAGG